GUCGAACGCGAAAGUCCCGCAAGGGAUGAGUAGAGUGGCAAACGGGUGAGUAACGCGUGGGCGACCUACCUCAGAGUGGGGGAUAACCUUCCGAAAGGAGGGCUAAUACCGCAUGACAUCCCGUGUUUAGAUACACGGUGAUCAAAGCCGGGGAUCGCAAGACCUGGCGCUUGGAGAGGGGCCCGCGUCCGAUUAGCUAGUUGGUGAGGUAACGGCUCACCAAGGCUCCGAUCGGUAUCCGGCCUGAGAGGGCGGACGGACACACUGGGACUGAGACACGGCCCAGACUCCUACGGGAGGCAGCAGUGGGGAAUUGUUCGCAAUGGGCGCAAGCCUGACGACGCAACGCCGCGUGGAGGAUGAAGACCUUCGGGUCGUAAACUCCUUUCGACCGAGAUGAAUUCCCGCCGGCCUAAUAUGCCGGCGGGGUGACAGUAUCGAGGGAAGCAGCCCCGGCUAACUCCGUGCCAGCAGCCGCGGUAAUACGGGGGGGGCAAGCGUUGUUCGGAAUUACUGGGCGUAAAGGGUUCGUAGGUGGCUCGCUAAGUCAGACGUGAAAUCCCUCAGCUUAACUGGGGAACUGCGUCUGAGACUGGUGAGCUCGAGUGCAGGAGAGGAACGCAGAAUUCCAGGUGUAGCGGUGAAAUGCGUAGAUAUCUGGAGGAAUACCGGUGGCGAAGGCGGCGUUCUGGACUGCAACUGACACUGAGUGAACGAAAGCCAGGGGAGCAAACGGGAUUAGA
rnacentral:rRNA from 1 species